UCAGCUGGUUCCUUUGUUGUUGGACGAUCAUGAGGAGGAAUGUACAUAUCUUUUUCAGUCUCUGGUCUCUCCAAUUUCCACCUUUUCAAUCUUCCAACUGUUAUCUCGCUCUUUGUUCCAACCUUGGUUUCCCACCUUGUCGUUAGUAGUUUGGGAGAGAAUCGCCAUUUGAUUUCUCAAGUAUUGUACUUCCUCAUUGUACAAUGCCUUGAACUUGGCAUCUUUCGG
rnacentral:lncRNA from 1 species